CCUACGGGAGGCAGCAGUGGGGAAUUUUGGACAAUGGGCGCAAGCCUGAUCCAGCCAUGCCGCGUGCGGGAAGAAGGCCUUCGGGUUGUAAACCGCUUUUGUCAGGGAAGAAAUCCUUUGAGCUAAUACCUCGGGGGGAUGACGGUACCUGAAGAAUAAGCACCGGCUAACUACGUGCCAGCAGCCGCGGUAAUACGUAGGGUGCGAGCGUUAAUCGGAAUUACUGGGCGUAAAGCGUGCGCAGGCGGUCUUGCAAGACAGGUGUGAAAUCCCCGGGCUUAACCUGGGAACUGCACUUGUGACUGCAAGGCUGGAGUACGGCAGAGGGGGAUGGAAUUCCGCGUGUAGCAGUGAAAUGCGUAGAUAUGCGGAGGAACACCGAUGGCGAAGGCAAUCCCCUGGGCCUGUACUGACGCUCAUGCACGAAAGCGUGGGGAGCAAACAGGAUUAGAUACCCUGGUAGUCCACGCCCUAAACGAUGUCAACUGGUUGUUGGACGGCUUGCUGUUCAGUAACGAAGCUAACGCGUGAAGUUGACCGCCUGGGGGAGGUACGGCCGCGAGGUAGAACGUACGAAGAAGUAGACGGCGUGAGACGUGCCGACGGACGACGACGAGGGAGGAGGG
rnacentral:rRNA from 1 species